AUAGCUCAGUAGUUAAGAGCACUGGUUACUCUUCCAGAGAACCUGAGUUCAAGUCUCAGU
rnacentral:tRNA from 1 species